UUCCAUCCCUGGUCAGGUU
rnacentral:misc_RNA from 1 species